rnacentral:rRNA from 1 species
CACGUAGGGCGCAAGCGUUGUCCGGAAUUAUUGGGCGUAAAGAGCUCGUAGGCGGUUUGUCGCGUCAGGAGUGAAAACUCGGGGCUUAACCCCGAGCCUGCUUCUGAUACGGGCAGACUAGAGGUAUGCAGGGGAGACUGGAAUUCCUGGUGUAGCGGUGAAAUGCGCAGAUAUCAGGAGGAACACCGGUGGCGAAGGCGGGUCUCUGGGCCGAUACUGACGCUGAGGAGCGAAAGCGUGGGGAGCGAACAGG